ACGUAGGGGGCAAGCGUUGUCCGGAAUUACUGGGCGUAAAGGGUGCGUAGGCGGUUAUUUAAGUCAGAUGUGAAAUCCCCGGGCUUAACUCGGGUGGUGCAUUUGAAAAUGGGUAACUAGAGUGCAGGAGAGGGAAGCGGAAUUCCUAGUGUUGCGGUGAAAUGAUUAGAUGUUAGGAGGAACACCAGUGGCGUAGGCUGCUUUCUGGACUUUAUCUGACGCUGAGGCACGAAAGCGUGGGGAGCAAACAG
rnacentral:rRNA from 1 species